rnacentral:lncRNA from 1 species
GCCAAANUGACGGCUCCUCGGCGCUUGGCAUCCUUGCUGGUGCAUUAAGAGGCAAGAACAGCAGGAGGAAGGGGUGUUAGUGGCCCCCAUCCGGCGUGGCACUCCACUUUGNAAGUCGUCCGGUGGGCAGCAUUCAAGGAAGGUGACAAGUUUCCUGAUUCUGCUCUUUCGUGGGCAUAAUAUAUGCCAGAAGACUGUAGCAGAGACUGGGGGAAGAUAAGGAUGNGACCACACAAAGCAUCGCUCACCCAAAAAAUUCUAGGGCUCCAGAUGCAGCAUGCAAAUGGGCUUCAGGAUCAAGUCCAGGAUGCCAGCCUUGGACCCUACAGNGCUGCUUUUCAAUCCCAGUGUCGGGGCGAUGGCCAACCCACAAUGGACUUGGCCUAAUUCACUUGCCAGGUGAGCUCCCCCAACCCAUCCCUCUUUACUCCUUGGCU